GGUACUUAACAAGUGUCUCAGGGGUGCCAGAACCCUCUCGCCCAUGGAGCUGGUGCCUCAGUCGGGGGAGACAACCACACACCCAAACGUCCAAGUUGUUCCACGUUCCAGGCUGCCUGAUCUUGGCCCUGAGCCUCAGACUGGAACCCAUGUCCUGAGGACAACAGAGCUCAUCCCACAAGCCGGCCCUCCCCAGGUCCCCCACUCACUUGCAAGGCACUCACCUCUGGACUGAGUGGAUGGUCCUCGCUACCCUCGGACUUCACUUAAAGGGCCUGGGGACACAGAAGUUUGUGCAGCAACUUUUUCCGGCAUGAAGUGACCGUGUGUCCAGCUUCGGAGUGGAGGUGUGCCCGCCCAGCCAGGAUGAUGCUCUGUGGGACCUUCCUGGCUUUAAGGCGGGCGCCCAUCUGCAGGGACGCUUUCAGAGGGAACAAGGAAACUCUCACCCCCAGCUGGUCACCGGAGAAGGUGGUGCCAAUUACAGAUGCAGAAAGUUCAGACCAAAAUUACUUGAAAGAGUUUUUAUGAAGCAAAUGAACUGACACUUGGAAUGUCUGUGUGCAGAUUUGCACAAGUAAUUGCACUUUAUUUGAAAUGAUCUUACCAGCUAAGCGACCAUUAAGCCUGCUCCACCGGCUUCCACAAAGCACUUCCUUAGCAAGCACUGCAGCCACAAGUUUGGUUUUGCAAAUCUCGCCUUUUCUCCCCGUGUGGAGUCGGAGGACCCUGCAUUCAGACAGAUUGUUUCCCUGAGGAUCUUCCUAAACUUAAAAGUCUCAUGCAACUUCUCCAUGGAUUUUUAUGAAAUAAAGUUUAAAGGAACAAUGUGCAUCACGCUUAGUUAUGGGAAAGACAAUAUUUUAUGAUUUAAAAAACUCCUGACAGUGUUUCACCCCGUGUGGGGAAGAAAGUUUUCGGACUACCUUGCUGUGGUCACUUAGAGGCAGAGCCGGGAGCCUCGUCUGGAACGGCCUCUGCCGGCGCGGCCGCGGCGAUCGCCGGCCUGGCUCGGGCUCGCGCCGAGAACAAAGCCCGGGCCUGGGGCGGGAGCGCUGUCCGAAGUGCUGAUCCAGUCGCGGGCGCGCCUGCCGCCCCGGCGCGCGGCCUGAAGCCGCGCCGAGCCUCGGACUCUUGCCGGCAAAGUCCCUUCCUCCUCCUUUCCUGUGACUCCUCCUUUGUUCUCUUGAUGGAGUCAGCUAAAGAUUUUGAACCUUCAUUCAUCAAAACUCAUCUUCCGAAACGGCUCAGUGGGAGCUCCCAGAGCUUCUCUUCAGGUUCUUGGAACCGGUACCGAUUUGAAGUUUCCCAGCACCUUCCAAAUGCUAGCACGGAGCAGCCUCAGGUGGAGUCCAGAGCCCCAUUCCCGACCACCAGAGCCACCCCCUCAGGAAGCCGCGCUUACUCAACGGAGGAGGGGUGAAGUACUGAGAGACUUAGGUUUGCGCAAAUAUAAUUUGGGUUACCUGAAAAAACAAUUAUGCUGCACCAGGUCUUUUUGUGGCACAUAUUGAUCUCUCCCUGAUGUUACCUCUGUUUGCCGUUGUUUCCUAAGUUUGACCGUCACACAUCUGAAUUAAAUACCUCCAUGAAACACUGCGCGUUGCUGGGGAAUACGGCUGAUUCAGCACCGGCCCCCUUUGAUUCCAUCUUCAUUGAGGAACAAUGGCGAGCAGGUCUGUCUAAGCCUGCAGCCUGCCGAUAAGAGUUUCAUAGAAUUUGUGAAUGCCAAAGGUUUGGGAUGUACAAUAUCCCAGCCCUCGCAGCGUGUCCGGAGGAGACAGAACACGGCUUUUCAGGAGAGCUCUCCGCGGGAUAUGUCCUUCUGUGCUAAGGG
ensembl:lncRNA